AUACGUAGGGGGCGAGCGUUGUCCGGAAUGACUGGGCGUAAAGGGCGUGUAGGCGGCUGUCUAAGUCUGGAGUGAAAGUCCUGCUUUCAAGGUGGGAAUUGCUUUGGAGACUGGAUGGCUUGAGUGCGGAAGAGGUAAGUGGAAUUCCCAGUGUAGCGGUGAAAUGCGUAGAGAUUGGGAGGAACACCAGUGGCGAAGGCGACUUACUGGGCCGUAACUGACGCUGAGGCGCGAAAGCGUGGGGAGCGAACAGGAUUAGAUACCCUGGUAGUCCACGCGGUAAACGAUGAAUGCCAGGUGUUGCGGGUAUCGACCCCUGCAGUGCCGGAGUAAACACAAUAAGUAUUCCGCCUGGGGAGUACGGCCGCAAGGUUGAAACUCAAAGGAAUUGGCGGGG
rnacentral:rRNA from 1 species